UACGGGGGGAGCAAGCGUUGUUCGGAUUUACUGGGCGUAAAGGGCGCGUAGGCGGCGCAACAAGUCACUUGUGAAAUCUCCGGGCUUAACCCGGAGCGGCCAAGUGAUACUGUCGUGCUAGAGUGCGGAAGGGGCUACUGGAAUUCUCGGUGUAGCGGUGAAAUGCGUAGAUAUCGUAAGGAAGACCAGUGGCGAAGGCGAAUCUCUGGACAGUUACUGACACUGAGGCACGAAGGCCAGGGGAGCAAACAGG
rnacentral:rRNA from 1 species